UUGGAGAAGAUUAGAAGUUGGAA
rnacentral:piRNA from 1 species